UCUAGGGCGGCUCCGCCCGGGGACCGCCCUCCCCUCACGGGAGAACGCGGUCUGCACGGGUGGGAAAGGCUCCUCUUCCCCUCACGGGCAAAAGGCCACAUUUCCCCCACGGGAGAAGCCGCCGUCCUCUCGUGGGAAAAGCUCCCCGCCCCUUCCCCUCACGGGCAAAGCCGCCUUCUCCUCAGGGGCGAAGCGCCCCUUCUCCUCAUGGGAAAAGCCGCCCCUUCCCCUCAUGGGCAAAGCCGCUCUGCACUCACGGGCGAAGCCUCCUGCCCCUCACGGGAAAGGCGCCCGUUGCCCUCACGGGCAAAGCCGCUCUGCACUGACGGGCGAAGCAUCCCUUCCCCUCACGGGCAAACCCUCCUGCCCCUCACGGGAAAGGCGACCCUUCCCCACACGGGCGAAGCGCCCCGUUCCACGGACCCCGGGGAAGGCUUGAACCCCGGUCUCCCGCUCCAGGCACGGCCACCGGGCAAAGCGCUCCGGCCCCGGCGCUGCAGUGGCUUCCAGGUGGCUCGGUCAGGUUUUGUGAUCCUCCUCCUCGUAUUGGGGCGCCCGUAACGAGGAGGCCUGUUCGUGGUGCCGCGUGGUGAGAGCUGGUUAAAAGGCUGUGAGGCGCCAGCGCAGUCGGGCUGUGCUGUGGGAUCACGGUAAAACAAGUGUUCCCUAGGGCCAGGAGGGAUUGUCGCGGAAUCCCGGCGUCUCAGAAGAGUUCGAGGUGGGAGGGACCUUUGGAGAUCAUCCAGUCCAAGGCAGGGUCACCUGGAGCAGGUGACACAGGAGCUUGCCCAGGUGUUCCAGCAGUACCUGCCAUUCCCAAAGAAGAGAUCUGCUGACAGACAUCCCUGCCUUGCUGGGCUGUGAGCUUCGUGCCACUGCAGUUAAUGCCAGCUGAGGAUUAAACCUGGAGAGCUGUAAUUUUCCAAGUUCCAUAAUCCCACUGCUGUUAAAGAAAAGGUUCAGGAAUCAAGCUGUCACUUUAGGUUUCCACAGCUGUAGAUAGAAGUGUCUCCGUGAAUAUCAGGCGCCCAUGGCACAAAUAUUCCUGUGCUGGAAUCAUAAUUUACCUUGGUGACCAGUGCCUGCUCUGCACCAAAAUCCAUUGUUUCCUAGAUUUCUGCAUCAGUAAUUCCACUAUUUUUCUCGAGGGAACUGAGGAAGACUGGGCUUUGUGUUCUACAACUAUUUUCUGUAUGGGGAGGUUGGACUGGGUGAUUCUGUGUUCACUGAACCAAGAUUUUGCCUCCUGAUAGCGUGGCUUUCCAGUGGAAAAAAGAAGGCAAUUAAAAACUUAGUGGUUUUAGGUGUGUGGUACAGAGGGUGUAGUUAGAAAAUUCAUUCUGUAAUUUGUUUCUAUUAAGUUUAUUUUCUACUAUACUGAAUGUUGUCCUGUUAUUGGUUUGUGUGGGCUUCUCUUGGUAAAGGAAGGUAUUCCAGCAUUCCUGACAUGUUUUCCUUCACUGUGUGCCAUGAUGGAUUCAUGACACUGCCUAGAGCAGAAUAAAUUACUGUAACACUCAUUUAUCUAAAAUACACUUAAUAUCACCAUCCAUGUCAUUUUUUUUGCAGUUCUAUUCUGGAUUUCCAGAACUACCCUCCUGGGCUUUUGGAAUCUGUUCUUGAUGAAUUGUUUGCAAAACUAGGAAAUAAGAAGUUUUUUUAUAAUACAGAGAGUAUAAUAAUUUUAUAUUUCUGAUUUGAUUUAAAUUUGUACACGUGCCUAACAAAAUAACAGUUGCAAUAUAUUUUUCAUGACGUGAAAGCUAAAAGAGGUUUAUGGUUUCAAACAAAUAAUGUAGUAGAGAGUAAACAAUAUGUGGCCAAAAUAAGUAUUCCCUGCAGUUUCUAACAUGGAUUUAUUAACCAUAAAGCUCGUUGUAUUCCAGGAAAAUGGUUUAGUUCAGAAUAGAUAAAUCUUUAAAAACACAACACUGUAACUGUUGGGAAGUCACCACGGCCCUGCCUUUGGUAUCUGAUUAAAAUGAACCAAAGGUUUUACACAGGAAUGUUCAUAUCUCUCCUUCAAAAAUAAGACUAAAAAAAUUCCUUGGAAUAUUAAAAGAAAUAUUUAAAGAGCUCUCUUCUUCAUAUGAGUGAUGUUAGUGUGAAUCUAAUGGCUACUCACCAAAAGGUAGGAAUGUAAUGAGAAGAGGAAAUCAUAUUUAUAGGGUAUUGUACCCACAAUCCUUCCAGUUGAAUGUGGCUUUCAAGAUCAUCUCUGACUAACUUUGAGCUGUGUUAUCCUGCAGAAAUGUGAACAACUGGUUGUCCUGUCAGGCUUUCUGAUUUGGAGACAAGUUAUCAAAGGUAUUCAGCAUUGGAAAAUGUAUCUUGUUAUCAAAAAAUCCCACCAUUCACUUGUUUUUGCUUCUUAUAGUAAUGUGCAGCUCUUCCCUGCCUUCCUGAAUGGCUGCCCUUGAU